AGAGUUUGAUCCUGGCUCAGGAUUAACGCUGGCGGCAUGCCUAAUACAUGCAAGUCGAAUGGGGAGCUUGCUUCCCAUGGCGAACGGGUGAGUAAUACGUAGGUAACCUACCUUUAGGACGAGGAUAACCUUUGGAAACGAAGGAUAAUACUGGAUAGUAUAUAUAUCCGCAUGGAGAUAUAUUUAAAGAUUUAUCACCUAGAGAGGGGCCUGCGGUGCAUUAGCUAGUUGGCGGGAUAAAAGCCCACCAAGGCGAUGAUGCAUAGCCGGACUGAGAGGUUGUACGGCCACAAUGGAACUGAGAACGGUCCAUACUCCUACGGGAGGCAGCAGUAGGGAAUUUUCGGCAAUGGGCGGAAGCCUGACCGAGCAAUGCCGCGUGAAUGAUGAAGUAUUUCGGUAUGUAAAGUUCUUUUAACAGGGAAGAAAAAACAAAUUGACGGUACCUGUUGAAUAAGCUCCGGCUAACUACGUGCCAGCAGCCGCGGUAAUACGUAGGGAGCGAGCGUUAUCCGGAUUUAUUGGGCGUAAGGGGUGCGUAGGCGGUUUGUUAAGUAUAAAAUUAAAGCCUGAGGCUUAACCUCAGUUCGUUUUAUAAACUGGCAGACUAGAGUAUGGCAGAGGUAAACGGAAUUUCUAGUGUAGCGGUUAAAUGCGUAGAUAUUAGAAGGAACACCAGUGGCGAAGGCGGUUUGCUGGGCCAUUACUGACGCUGAGGCACGAAAGCGUGGGGAGCAAAUAGGAUUAGAUACCCUAGUAGUCCACGCCGUAAACGAUGAGUACUAAGUGUCGGGUUACCGGUUCUGAAGUUAACACAUUAAGU
rnacentral:rRNA from 1 species